ensembl:lncRNA
CCUGUGGGCUUUCCCGUGGGGACUCGGCCUGUCCUGCCCCGAGGCCAUCCGCAGAAGCCAGUGUGUCCCCCAGGGUGCGAGCCUACCUGCGUCUGGCUGCCCUCCGCCCGCUCCACACCCGGGAGAGGCCAGCGCACCCACAUGCCUGAAGAACCGCACUGCUGCCUCGUGUUCCGCUUGUUCCGCUGAGCGGCUCAGUCCAGAGACCCGCGCCGCCCUCUUGUUUAUCUAAUCAACGUGCAGCGAGCUGGGGUCAGGGCUCAGCCUCACACGGUGCCAUGCACCCGUGAGCAGUGACUGCAGGUAUUCGGAAUUCCUACCGUGCGCCCGGAGAACCCUCAUCCCAAGUACCGCAGAUUCGAAAGCGGGGGAUGGCGCUCCCCGAGGCCUAGCAGACCUCGCAGUCCUCACAGCAAACCCUUCCUCACUCUGCAUAUCAUCACGGAGCAGAGCCUUCAGGCUCUCGGUGCUGACUCUGCAAUUCCUUCUAUCAGACCGUCUUAGACGUGGACAUAGACCCGCAUGAGACAGAGCCGCCGUGGCCGUGGAAUGCAGUGAAACCAGGAGACAGAUCUAACCCACGCACUGCAAAUUAUGUAUAAAGACUGCCAACGUCACCGAUGGGGGCAGAAGCAACUCAAGAGGAACUGGAAAGAAGAGAGCACGGAAGCAUAGGGGGUUGUUAAAACCACCAGCAUAGAUACACCUUCUGAGUGUAAGAGCUUCCAUCCGUCUCUGCAUCCUGGAGAGGGCUCCCGGAGCUUGGGUCCACUGAAGCCUCAGGAGGCACUCGGGGGAGGCAGCGGUGUCUGUCUGGUCUGCAGCCGAAAUCCACCCCUGAGAAUGAGAGCUACCACAGACAGCACGGCACCCCUGAGGCUUCCUGAGGACAUUCAUAAAGGCUGAAAUUCCGCCGAACAAGUUAGGGAAAUAACAGGAAAAGCCAAAAACUCUGUGGUGUUUAUUUAAACAGAGAACUAAGACCUAAACAAACAUAAGGACUAGGGGAAAAGACUGUUUAAUAUGUAUGUUAUAGGGCCCGAAACAACUUAGGAAGGAGAAAUGUGGCUGAAAAGGGGCAAGAAAGAUGGGAAAUUGGAAUAAGCUCAUUGAAGGCUUAAUCCUCAGGAGCUGGGCAGGGCUAGAAUAUAGCUUAAAGCCAAUAGGUAAUUAAAGCGUAAAGAUAUGUAACUGUACCAAGACAAAAACUAGGGAUAAGCAUACUAAUAAAUAUAAAACAAGUGACCAAGGAGUGAGA